rnacentral:misc_RNA from 1 species
UGUGAGGCACGCACCGCUGCC